CUUAUUUUAAAAAUUAUUAUUUUUUAGGGAUGGGAUCUCACUGCAUUGCUCAGGCUGGUCUCAAACUCCUGGGCUCAAGCAAUCUUCCUGCCUUAGCUUCCCAAAGUUCUGGGAUUACAGGCAUGAGCCACCACUCCCAGCCAAAAAAAAAAAUACUCAUUUAAAGCUGCACAAGUUUGAUGGCACAAGUCUGUAUAACUGGACCUGUGCCUUUAUAAAACCUCAAACACUGCAAAGGUUCAUGAAACAAUGUAUAUCUAUUCUUCUUAUUCACUGUCAUCAAUGCUGACCAGGGAAAAUUGCACAGGUGCACGUGUGUGUGUGUGUGUGUAGGGCUAGUGAAGCAGGCAACUACCAGAGAUACAUUAUUAAAAAGCUAACAUUUAUUGGCCAGGCGCGGUGGCUUACGUCUGUAAUCCCAGCACUCUCACGGGUGGUGCCUCCCCGGCAAUGGGGGUCCCAAGAUCCAGGGGGGGAAAAGGGGAUGGCUCUCAGCCACCACAAAAUGGGGGGCCUUUAUGUUCAGGUUUUGCCCAAGAGUCAGCUUAUUUGCUUCUUGUACUAGCAGGGCAGUUGCUGCCAAGGCCUCAAACAGGGGAGCCAUCCUUCAGAAACCCUGUCUAGUUGUUCAGAGACGUAGGCCACCGGCCUCAGCCAGGGCCCCACAGUUUGGGUUAAAAGUCCAGCUGCCAUCUUUUCUCUCUCUAACGCAUACAAUGGAAAAGGCUUUGUCAGAUCGGGUAGCCCCAGGGCUGGGGCUGCCAGAAGUUUUUCCUUUAAGUCAUGAAAGACUUGCUGUUCUUGGAUCCCCAUUCCAAAGGUUCCGGUCCCCGCCCCCUUUGUGACCUCAUACAAAGGCUUGGCUAAUACUGCAAAGUUUGGGAUCCACAGUCUACAAAACCCCACAUCCCCUGAGAAUUCUCUCGCCUGCCUUAGGCACUUAGGCUCCGGGAGAUUGCAAAUAACCUGCUUUCUUUCUGUUCCCGGGCUGCGUUCGGACUCCUGUCAGAUAGUAAAUCCUAAGUGGCGUCGGACCCCUGUCAGAGAGUAAAUCUCAAGUAAGGUACCUGCCAUCGGCAGAUUUGAGCUUUCUUCUUGGACACCUAAUACCCACAGUCCUCCAGGCUCCGGUAGACUGCAAAUGACCUGCUUUCUUUCUGUUCCCGGGCUGCGUUUGGACCCCUGUCGGAUAGUAAAUCCCAAGCUCCGGUAGACUGCAAAUGACCUGCUUUCUUUCUGUUCCCGGGCUGCGUUUGGACCCCUGUCGGACAGUAAAUCCCAAGUAAGGUACCUGCCCUCGGCAGAUUUGAGCUUUCUUCUUGGACACCUAAUACCCACAGUCCUCCAGGAUAACUUCAGGAAGUGGGUAUUAAUUCUCACGGUAUAAGUGAAGACAUUAAGCACCAGAGUUUAAGUAGCUUGAUCCACUGAAAGAGAUUCAACUGUGUGGAACCUAUGCCGUGGAGAAUUGCUUUCUGCCAUUGUUAUCGUCCAGCAGUUGCCGAAUAGCUCUGACCUGAGCAAAGCAGUGAAACGCGGUGCUGUUGAGUGGGUUGCCACUGCACCUUUUUCAACUACUCUAGUCUUGUGGAGAAAAUACCCCUUCUAAAUUUUUUCUUCAUUGAAUACUCUCCCUCAGCUCCAGAGUACCAUAUAGAGUUUUCUUGUAUUUUAGAGUUACUGUUUUAUCAAAGUUUACCAGUCUUUUGUAUUACAUUUCUCCUGUCUAAAUCGACUGUGUGGUUUCUACUCAUUAUGGAUAUAGAUUGAUACAAACUCAAUAAAUAUUUUUGAAUGAAUAACUCCACAGUCCAAGUUAUUUUAAUCACUAUACAAAAUCUCCAGAGUUUCUCCCAUAUUUCUGAACAUGG
rnacentral:lncRNA from 1 species